rnacentral:rRNA from 1 species
GUGCCAGCCGCCGCGGUAAGACGGAGGAUGCAAGCGUUAUCCGGAAUGAUUGGGCGUAAAGCGUCCGCAGGUGGCAAUUCAAGUCUGCUGUUAAAGCGCAGGGCUUAACUCUGUAAAGGCAGUGGAAACUGAAUAGCUAGAGUGUGGUAGGGGCAGAGGGAAUUCCCAGUGUAGCGGUGAAAUGCGUAGAGAUUGGGAAGAACAUCGGUGGCGAAGGCGCUCUGCUGGACCAUAACUGACACUCACAGGACGAAAGCUAGGGGAGCGAAUGGGAUUAGAUACCCCAGUAGUCCUAGCCGUAAACGAUGGAUACUAGGUGUUGUCUGUAUCGACCCGGACAGUGCCGUAGCUAACGCGUUAAGUAUCCCGCCUGGGGAGUACGCACGCAAGUGUGAAACUCAAAGGAAUUGGCGGGG